rnacentral:rRNA from 1 species
UACGGAGGAUCCAAGCGUUAUCCGGAAUCAUUGGGUUUAAAGGGUCCGUAGGCGGUUUAGUAGUCAGUGGUGAAAGCCCAUCGCUCAACGGUGGAACGGCCAUUGAUACUGCUGAACUUGAAUUAUUAGGAAGUAACUAGAAUAUGUAGUGUAGCGGUGAAAUGCUUAGAGAUUACAUGGAAUACCAAUUGCGAAGGCAGGUUACUACUAAUGGAUUGACGCUGAUGGACGAAAGCGUGGGUAGCGAACAGG